GUCCUUGUAGCCCAAUGGAGAGUGCGUUGGACUUCUAAUCCAAAGGUCGUGGGUUAGUAUCCUACCGGGGAUG